ensembl:lncRNA
GUUAUUUUCCUUUAUUAAAUGUUGACGUUUUCAAAAUAUCUCCUCAGACACAAGCCAUCAGUAUCCCUGCUCUUUGCACCUUGACAUGCAUCUCACCGCUGUUUGUUAACCUAGCUUUGGGGAUUUGUAUCUUGUGAUGUGUGUGUGUGUUUUUCUUAACAGGUGUUAGAUGACUGACAAGAUCUAUGGGGGGGCCCCCUUUGGGCCCCCCCAUACCAACUUAGUCUUCAAAGGAAUCUAGUGCCAUGGGACUCUAGUGUCUUCAAAACAUCCUGCUGCGUUGGCCGUAGUGGCUUCCAGAGCCAUCUUUCGGUCUUGGUCAGGAUUUGUUACAGUUGCCCUUCAAUGGGGACUUGACUGGUGAGUCUACUGGAUUAAUCAGUAGCGGUACUUUGCCCAACAGAUUUGAUGGCAUGACUACAGGGUGACAAAGACAAUUAUUCCCUGCCUAUCAAAAGAGACUUCUAAAACAUAUCUGCUAGAACAGUUCCUAUACUUUUUGUAUAAUUUGGUCAUGCUGAAAAUUUACUUUUUGUAGUUGCUCCAUAUUUAGUUCUUUGACAGCCUCACCUGCUAGAAAAGUCUAUUCAAAUCGGCUAAAUAUAAUGAACUAAAUUAAUAGCCAUGAAAUGUUGUCACUCAUAUGUUGUCACUCAGUUGGUGGUUCAACACUGAUGUCUCUCUAGGCUUGAGGGAGAGCUGUCCUUUUCUCUUGUUUUAACCCGAAAGGGCUGAAAAUAUCAACAUUUCAGGUAUUCUGUUUGGAUAAUGUGCAAAACUUGUGGCUUCACUAAUAAAAAAAAUUAACGAAUGUAUUUUUCUUAAUGUGGUUAAACUAUUUAAAGAUUUGUAUGCAAAAUAUUUCUGCUGAAUUUGUGGUCAAUGAAACUCAAAUUUUUUAAUUUGAUAAAACACAACUAUGGGUUAAAGGUAUUUGCUUUGGGCAUCUUUUGAUAUUUUUAGAAUCUAGCUCCAUUGCCGUUAGAAAUGGUGUCUCCCAGUACUGCAAAGUGCUUCCACAAGUUUAAAAAAUAAUGGGCAGAAAAGGAACUGCCAACUAAAUCUAUUUAACAUGGGUAGAAAGUUUCCAUGGAAGCUCUUGGCUGCUGGUUCCCAACACAGCUCCACUGUUAGCCUGUGACCUUGCG